rnacentral:rRNA from 1 species
AACGAACGCUGGCGGCAGGCCUAACACAUGCAAGUCGAGCGAGGACUUCGGUCCUAGCGGCGGACGGGUGAGUAACGCGUGGGAACGUGCCCUUUGCUUCGGAAUAGCCCUGGGAAACUGGGAGUAAUACCGGAUGAGCCCUUUGGGGGAAAGAUUUAUCGGCGAAGGAUCGGCCCGCGUUGGAUUAGGUAGUUGGUGGGGUAAUGGCCUACCAAGCCGACGAUCCAUAGCUGGUUUGAGAGGAUGAUCAGCCACACUGGGACUGAGACACGGCCCAGACUAGGGCGGGCGGAGGUGAGAGAGCAUGAGAGCCAAGGGCACAACGCGCGAUAGAGGGUGGUGGGGUGAGGAGGGACGGCAGUAGGGUUGAACAACUCUUUCAGGUGGAAAAAUCAAGCCGCAAGCGACAGAGCAAGCCCCGCCUACCUCCGUGCCAGCAGCGGCCUGAAGAAACGGAAGCCCAUCCGGCAGAUC